rnacentral:rRNA from 1 species
GUUUGACCUGCCCAGUGAGGUUUUAACGGCCGCGGUAAUCCGACCGUGUGAAGGUAGCAUAAUCAGUAGUCUUUUAAUUGGAGGAUGGCAUGAAGGGUUGGACAAGAAGUAGUCUGUCUUUUUUAUAAUUUUUGAAUUUUACUUUUAAGUGAAAAGGCUUAAAUAGUUUAAGGGGACGAAAAGACCCUAUAAAUUUUUACAAAGUUGAAUUUUCUUUUGAAUUAGUGUUUAAAUUUUAUGAUUUCUUAUUUGUUGGGUUGGGGCGACAAAGAUAAAAAUUAGUAACUGUCAAAUAAGAUAGAUAAAUAUAUUUAGUAUAGUUGAUCCUUUAUUAGAGAUUAAAAGAGUAAGUUACUUUAGGGAUAACAGCGUAAUUUCCUCUGAGAGUUCUUAUCGACGAGAGUAGUUGUGACCUCGAUGUUGAAUCUAAGGUUUCUAUUAAGUGUAGCAGCUUAACAAGUAGGUCUGUUCGACCUU